AAUAAGUGGCGUACGCCUCGUUAUUGUUUGAAUAAGCAAGUAGGGGGCGUACGCCUCACUACCGUGCGUAUUCAACAUCCGCAAACACAACUUUCAAAAUAAUUCGAACGAAAAAGGAAUAGAAGGCGAUCGCCUUAUUAUUCCUCGAAAGAAUUGGACGAUUGGUGAACACCACAUUGCUCAAUCUUUCGUCGUUCUCCAAAAACAUCUCAAAACACAUCAAACCUAACUUCUCGCCCCCGAGCGAUCGAAACCAAAUCAAAAC
rnacentral:lncRNA from 1 species